GGGACAUUCACAUUCAUAACUCCCUUCUGUGUUCAGGCAGGUUCCUCCACGACACAACAGGGGGUUUCUCUCACACUCGUCAAUGUCUGUCAGCAGAGAGGAAGCAAGGGAAGGAGGAAUGAAGAGGGAAGAAAGGAGAAACAGCAGUAAUGGAUUUAUUAAAAACAACAUGGAAGUAAUGGAAAGACCACUCUCGUAGCCCUCGAAACAUUCACACUCAAAGCUACCAGGUGUGUUGACACAGUGCAGUUCCUCUCUUCUGCGGUCAGAGCGAAGCCGUUGUUGCAGCGACACUUGAAACUGCCGAUGGUGUUUCGGCAAUUUCCAUGAGUACAAAGACCCUGGAACACUUUACACUCAUUUACAUCUGGGGAGAAAGACAGACCAUUUAAAUCUAUAUCACAAAGAUAUACAUUUUUGGUUAAAAACGUCCACAUUCAGUCAGUUGCUAGAUCUUGGUACCUUUGUAGAACGGCCUGCCAGUCAGUAUAUCUCCUCUGUUGGCGAAGCCGGGCCCUCUGGGACAAAUGGCUCUGUACUCAGGUGUGCCUGUUUUAGGGCACUCCUCACAGUCGAUACCCCAGGCAGCACCCACUGAACAGCAGCACAUGUCCACACGGUAUCUGCCUGGCAGUGGCUGGCCACACUCAUCCUCGUGCCACUUCAUGUAGCACUGCUCACUACGCAUAUCUAGAAAAGUUCAAAAACAAAGUCACCUCUUUUUCUGAAUUUUGACCUAAUAGUGCAGUAACCUGAUAGCUGCUGGAAAUAACAGUUUCAUUGGAUGUGACGUCUCAUUUCUUUAUUGUGCAGUCCUCUUACCCACACAUGUGCGUUCAGUACUGUCCAGGGUGAGACCCUCAGCACACUCACAACGGAAAGAGCCCUGGGUGUUCACACACCGUCCAUUUGUACACACCCCAGGGAACACCUCGCACUCAUUAAUGUCUACAGGGAGCAGGAGAUUACAAGA